GACGAACCGUCCUAACGUUGUUCGGAAUCACUGGGCUUAAAGGGCGCGUAGGCGGCUGGCCAAGUCAGGGGUGAAAUCUUUCGGCUUAACCGGAAAAGUGCCUUUGAUACUGGCGAGCUCGAGGGAGGUAGGGGCAGGUGGAACUUCCGGUGGAGCGGUGAAAUGCGUUGAUAUCGGAAGGAACGCCGGUGGCGAAAGCGACCUGCUGGACCUUUGCUGACGCUGAGGCGCGAAAGCUAGGGGAGCGAACGGG
rnacentral:rRNA from 1 species